CAGCCGCCGCGGGAAUACGUAGGUGGCAAGCGUUGUCCGGAAUUAUUGGGCGUAAAGCGCGCGCAGGCGGAUAGGUCAGUCUGUCUUAAAAGUUCGGGGCUUAACCCCGUGAUGAGAUGGAAACUGCCAACCUAGAGUAUCGGAGAGGAAAGUGGAAUUCCUAGUGUAGCGGUGAAAUGCGUAGAUAUUAGGAAGAACACCAGUGGCGAAGGCGACUUUCUGGACGAAAACUGACGCUGAGGCGCGAAAGCCAGGGGAGCGAACGGGAUUAGAUACCCCUGUAGUCCCUGUCUCUUAUACA
rnacentral:rRNA from 1 species